CUCAGCUUUUUUGGUGAAAAUGAAGUAGUGCUGUUCAGAUUAUUUAUUUUCCUUUCAAAAAGUCAUUUUCUAUAAUAGAAAAGCCAUCCAUGAGUGUGAUUUUCACUUCUGCCUAUGGGAUUAUCAUUAUGAAUGAUGUGGUAAAAGAUUUAGAUUGAGCUAUAACUGAGAGAUAAUGUUUUUCUUUUAUUCUGCAAUUGAAAAAUGGUAUCUUGAUUUUUUUUUUUUUUUGAGAAGUGGUUAAUGACCAGUGUGCUAGUACUAUAAAAAUUUGGUUAUGCCCUUCACUUUUUUUAAACUAUGAAAUUAAUCUAUUACUAAUCAUUUAUAAAUCAGCAAAGUAAUCAAUACUAGUUAAUGCAAUGCUAAAAUUGACAUUAAUCACUUUUUCAGAGACAGACUCUUCUGGUCCCAUCUUAGAAUUAAAAUUGUAAUGCAGUCCCUAUUUGCAGCUGAUUCUGGAAAAAAAUAAAUUUUUGAACAUGGGGUUGCAGUGGAGACUUUGGGAAAUUUUUCCCACCAAAAACAGAAGGAUGAAGAAGCCCACUGGAUGCUUCCUGAAAUAGGAUUUGGCUUGAUACUGGUAGCUGAUAAAAAUUAAAUCUCUACCCAUGGAAGACUACAAGACUAUGAAACCUAAAGAUUUCAUGAAACUAGUGGAAGUGAUAUUGAAGAAUUGCAAAGCCAAUUGCAAUGAAGUGAUGGUAUUUGCAAGCAUGAUGGCAUGAUUGGUGCUUCAGAGGUAAAUGAUCUGGAUAUUAAGAGUGAAUGAAGCUGGUGGGAUUAGAAAGUUUGCAAAAAUAUAAAAUAUAUGUAUGUGCUUUAAAUUCAAACUUAAAUAAUACUGUGAUAAAACUUGGUAAAGAAA
rnacentral:lncRNA from 12 species